ACGAGCCACAUGCAGGGAAACUUGCACGUGUGGUUCUGGCUAGGGACCCCGAUAUACUGUAC
rnacentral:ncRNA from 1 species